CGACCUGUGCGGUACGAGACUACGGGCCGAACUUAAGCAUAUCAGUAAGCCCAGGAAAAGAAAUCAAAGCGAGAUUCCCCCAGUAGCGGCGAGCGAACAGGGACGUGCCAGGCCUGAAUUCCAGUUGUGGGCGUGCAUUGCAGCGGGGGCAAAGUGCCGUUGAACCGGCCGGACCAAACAGUGCAACUCUGGUUGGCCCCCUUGCACUAGCUGGCGUAGUAGUACUGCUUGAGAGUGUAGUAUGAAUACGGGUGGUAUUCCUCAUCCAAGGCCAAAUACAGGUCCAAGUCCGAUAGCGUAUCGAGUAACGUGAGUGAAAGGUGAAAAGUAGACUCAAAGGGGUUGCUUAAAAGACGUGAAACUAUUAUUUUGAAGGGUAAGCGGGGGCAGCGCAUCUGCCGAACCUCUCCUAGAGGGCCGCCGCUUUCCGCCCGUCUCGAAACACGGAUUAAGGAGUUACGUUAGACUGCGAGCCAAUGCGUGCAAACGCAAGGGCGCAGCGAAAGCGGAAAUACUCAGCCAUGUUAGGGUGCACCGGUUCACCGGGGCUCCUGUACAGAGUUGUCUGAUGUAAACCCGAAAGGUAGUGAUCUUUACACGGCGAGGAUGAAGCCAGUCGAAAGGCUGGUGGAGGUCCGCAGCAAUACUGACGUGCAAAUCGUUUGUCAGAGCUGUGUAAAGGGGCGAAAGACUCAUCGAACUUCCAAGUAGCUGGUUACGUUCGAAAUUUCUCUCAGGAUAGCAGCAGUGAUUUAGCUCCGACAGGUAGAGAUAAUGAUUGGUGGAAAGUGGCCUCCGGGUAUGCCCCAACUCUCAAACUUCGAAUAGUCGGGAUCGCGGGUCUUCCGCAAGGAGCCGCCGCGGUGGAGUAUGCACUGCUAGUGGGCCCCUCUGGGUAAGCCGGAUGGGCAAGGAGGAUUCAGCCUUAAGUGGAGUUACGGUGCGCAACAGGGGCGCAUGAGAAAAAACGACGUGUGCUGAUACAGACAGCAGGAAGGUGGCCAUAAAAGUCGGAAGCCUCUAAGGAGUGUGUUACAACUCACCUGCCGAAUCAGUACGCUCGGAAAAUGGAUCGCGCUGCAGCCUCUGACCUACACUCCACUGCACGCCGUGCCAGGUAGAACGUGGUGGUGCGGGCGUCGAAGCUUUCUCGUGAGAGGGGGCGGAGCGCGCACUAGUCCAGAUCUUAAUUGGAGUAGCCAAUAAUCUGCAUGCAGACCACUGAAGAGGAGAAGGAUUCCGCAGCCACUGAAACAGUCUGCGGGUGACUCGGACCUAAGCGCUCGGCCACGGCCAUUUAAGCGUCGAAAGGGAAGCAGGCUAAGAUCCCUGCAGGCCCGCCCACAUUCGGCAACGGACGGCGCAGUUCACGGUCUCUCGGUCGGCGCGGUCGGACCAUCGCACCGGCUUAAUGCUCCAGGGCGUGGGGAAGAGCUAAGCUCUAGAGCCACGUUUCGCAGCUAGAAUACGUCCGCGUACACGGACGCGUGCGGGGCCGAGAGACGCCUCAAAAUGGACUGCGCGACUCGGGCGGGCACCGUACUGAUAACCGCAUCAGGUCUCCUAGGCAAGAAACCUCUAGUGAGAAGAUAACACGACCAAGGGAAGUCGGCAAAUCGGCUCUGUAACCUUGGGAUAAAGAGUGGCUCUGAAUGCUCGUGCCGGCGGCGCUGCAUUGAGACCUCGGGGAAGCGUCGAAGUGGGGCAACCUGCCAGAUGUGAGCUGGGUGAUCUUUGCAGCCUCUAACGCACCAUGGGCAAUUCAGAACUGCUACUGACUAGAAGAACCCGACUGUAUAAUUAAAACAUAGCAUCUCGAUAGCCGCAGCCGGUUUUGACGAGAUGUGAAUCCUGCCCAGUGCUAUGACUGUCAACGUGACGAGAGUCAUUCAAGCUCUGGUAAACGGCGGGAGUAACUAUGACUCUUUUAAGGUAGCCAAAUGCCUCGUCCAGUAAUUUUGGACGUGCAUGAAUGGAUUAAUGAGGUUCUUACUGUCCCUGGUCGUAUCUUCGCGAAACCACAGACUCGGGAACGGGCGAGUGUAACCCUCAGCGGGGCAAGAAGACCCUGUUGAGCUUGACUCCAGCUUGGGAAUUGUAGAACGGUGAUGGUGGUAGAGCGUACAGGGGAGGGCGACCGCAGCAUGUAACACCCUGACACUACUCAUUGUUCUGCUAACCCGGUAACCGGCCCGGCUUUGGCCUGGGGCUUGUCGGGGACAUUUCUAGGUGGGGAGUUUGGCUGGGGCGGCGCGCCUGCUAAAGCGCAACGCAGGCGUCCUAAAACAAGCUCAGACAGGACGGAAACCUGUCGCAGAGCAAAAGAGCAAAAGCUUGUCUGAUUGCGUGCGUCAGUGGCGUAUGCAACCGUGAAAGCGUGGUCUAUCGAUCCUUUACGAUUCUUGGAAUGAAUCUGGAGGUGACAGAAAAGUUACCACAGGGAUAACUGGCUUGUGGCCGCCAAGCGACCAAAGCGACGUGGCUUUUUGAUUCUUCGAUGUCGGCUCUUCCUAUCAUUCUGAAGCAGCAUUCAGAAAGUGUUGGAUUGUUCACCCAUGCAAGGGAACGUGAGCUGGGUUUAGACCGUCGCGAGACAGGUUAGUUUUAUCCUACUGAGGACCGCGCACCGCUAGUAAUCUAGAUUAGUACGAGAGGAACAUUUUUAUCAAAGCACUGGUUUACAGCCUUGUUUGACAAAGCAGUUGGCUGAAGCCACCCUUUGGCAUGUUAUGGCUGACAGCCUCUAAGUGAGAAUCUCCCCUACAGGUGUGUAUGGUUUCACCUGCUUAUGAAUUAGAAGCGAAACCGCCGCUCUCCAUAGACCAUGGAGCUCGAGUGCACUGUGAGCUAUAAGUAAAUUCAAGUAGUUGAGGUGCCACUCUGUGUUAUUAUUCAUUUUGCUG
rnacentral:rRNA from 1 species